rnacentral:tRNA from 1 species
GUGGGUAUAGAUCAGUGGUAGAGUGUGUGCCUAGCAUGCGCAAGGUCCUGGGUUCAAUCCCCAGUACCUCCA